AAGCGCGGACUGUUUCAUUGUCUGUCAGUGGCAGAGGCAGCCGCAUCGUUACGCAGCUGCCGCUUAACGAUGUGCUGACCUCUGCGUUCGGGCUUAUCCAGUUAGCGCCG
rnacentral:pre_miRNA from 1 species